GGGUGAGUAACACGUGGGUGAUCUGCCCUGCACUCUGGGAUAAGCCUGGGAAACUGGGUCUAAUACCGGAUAGGACCAUGCUUUAGUGUGUGUGGUGGAAAGUUUUUCGGUGUAGGAUGAGCCCGCGGCCUAUCAGCUUGUUGGUGGGGUAAUGGCCUACCAAGGCGGCGACGGGUAGCCGGACUGAGAGGUUGGUCGGCCACAUUGGGACUGAGAUACGGCCCAG
rnacentral:rRNA from 1 species